rnacentral:rRNA from 1 species
AUUGAACGCUGGCGGAAUGCUUUACACAUGCAAGUCGAACGGCAGCACGGACUUCGGUCUGGUGGCGAGUGGCGAACGGGUGAGUAAUGUAUCGGAACGUGCCCAGUCGUGGGGGAUAACGUGGUGAAAAUUACGCUAAUACCGCAUACGAUCUAUGGAUGAAAGCGGGGGAUCGCAAGACCUCGCGCGAUUGGAGCGGCCGAUAUCAGAUUAGGUAGUUGGGGGGGUAAAGGCCCACCAAGCCAACGAUCUGUAGCUGAUCUGAGAGGACGACCAGCCACACUGGAACUGCGACACGGUCCAGACUCCUACGGGAGGCAGCAGUGGGGAAUUUUGGACAAUGGGCGAAAGCCUGAUCCAGCCAUUCCGCGUGCAGGAUGAAGGCCCUCGGGUUGUAAACUGCUUUUGUACAGAACGAAAAGGUUUCUACUAAUACUAGGAGCUCAUGACGGUACUGUAAGAAUAAGCACCGGCUAACUACGUGCCAGCAGCCGCAGUAA